rnacentral:tRNA from 1 species
GGGUCUGUAGUUCCAAUGGGAGAACGCCUGUUUUGCAAUCAGGAGGUUGUCGGUUCGAGUCCGAUCAGAUCCA